UUAUGCACAAGAAGAAGGAGGAUCAAGAAUAUUUUGCAAGAAAAUCAAGCCAAAAAUGGAAGAUUUGUUAGGAUUUUUGCCCAGAUUUUCUUAUCAAAAUUAAGUUUUAUUUUUUCUUAGAAAGAAAAUAAAAGUAACCAUAAUUACUUUUACUUUUCAUGAAAGGAAAAUAUAAAACUUUUCCAUAUUUGGCUAACCUCUUUCUUAUAGAAAGGUU
rnacentral:lncRNA from 1 species